UACGUAGGCAGCGAGCGUUGUUCGGAGUUACUGGGCGUAAAGGGUGUGUAGGCGGCCUAUUAAGUUUGGUGUGAAAUCUCCCGGCUCAACCGGGAGGGUGCGCCGAAAACUGGGAGGCUAGAGUGCGGGAUGGGAGAGUGGAACUGCGAGUGUAGAGGUGAAAUUCGUAGAUAUUCGCAAGAACACCAGUGGCGAAGGCGGCUCACUGGCCCGGUACUGACGCUGAGGUGCGAAAGCGUGGGGAGCAAACAGG
rnacentral:rRNA from 1 species